GGUCUCUGAUUAUGAGGACAAAGUAAUAGACAACUUUCUACAACUGAAAAUGACCAGUGAUACAUACGUUUGGAAGUGUGCCGAAGCAAGUGUAUCUCGCUUAGAUGCUUAUAGACUUUUAACAGGAGGUGAACUCAGUGACGAUGUCAUCGAUGCA